UGGGGAAUUUUGGACAAUGGGCGCAAGCCUGAUCCAGCAAUGCCGCGUGCAGGAUGAAGGCCUUCGGGUUGUAAACUGCUUUUGUACGGAACGAAAAAGCUCUCUCUAAUACAGGGGGCGAAUGACGGUACCGUAAGAAUAAGCACCGGCUAACUACGUGACAGCAGCCGCGGUAAUACGUAGGGUGCAAGCGUUGUCCGGAUUUACUGGGUGUAAAGGGCGCGCAGGCGGAAUGGAAAGUCAGUGGUGAAAUCCUACAGCUUAACUGUAGAACUGACUUCGGUACUUUCAUUCUUGAGUUCGGGAGAGAGAGACGGAAUUCCAGGUGUAGUGGUGAAAUACGUAGAUAUCUGGAAGAACACCAGUUGCGAAGGCGGUCUCUUGGUCCGAUACUGACGCUGAGGCGCGAAAGCGUGGGGAGCAAACA
rnacentral:rRNA from 1 species